rnacentral:pre_miRNA from 1 species
CAUACGAUCAUGAAUGGGCAAAGCGAAGUAUGUAGUUAAUUAUUUACCUUAUUUACAUGUAAUUAAAAAUAACGUAAGUAAUAAAUUGCAUACUACGCUUUGCCCAUUCAUGAUCGUA